AGUGAACGCCGGCGGUAGGCCUAACACAUGCAAGUCGAACGGCAGCACAGUAAGAGCUUGCUCUUACGGGUGGCGAGUGGCGGACGGGUGAGGAAUACAUCGGAAUCUACUUUUUCGGGGGGGAUAACGUAGGGAAACUGACGCUAAUACCUCAUACGACCUACGGGUGAAAGCAGGGGAUCUUCGGACCUUGCGCGAAUGAAUGAGCCGAUGUCGGAUUAGCUAGUUGGCGGGGUAAAGGCCCACCAAGGCGACGAUCCGUAGCUGGUCUGAGGGGAUGAUCAGCCACACUGGAACUGAGACACGGUCCAGACUCCUACGGGAGGCAGCAGUGGGGAAUAUUGGACAAUGGGCGCAAGCCUGAUCCAGCCAUACCGCGUGGGUGAAGAAGGCCUUCGGGUUGUAAAGCCCUUUUGUUGGGAAAGAAAAGCAGCAGGUUAAUACCCCGCUGUUCUGACGGUAACCAAAGAAUAAGCACCGGCUAAAUUCGUG
rnacentral:rRNA from 1 species